rnacentral:rRNA from 1 species
UACGUAGGGAGCAAGCGUUGUCCGGAAUCAUUGGGCGUAAAGCGCGCGUAGGUGGCCAUGUAAGUCCGCUGUGAAAGUCAAAGGCUCAACCUUUGAAAGCCGGUGGAUACUGCAUGGCUAGAGUACGGAAGAGGCGAGUGGAAUUCCUGGUGUAGCGGUGAAAUGCGCAGAUAUCAGGAGGAACACCGAUUGCGAAGGCAGCUCGCUGGGACGUUACUGACGCUGAGACGCGAAAGCGUGGGGAGCAAACAGG